rnacentral:rRNA from 1 species
CCUACGGGUGGCAGCAGUGGGGAAUAUUGGACAAUGGGGGCAACCCUGAUCCAGCAAUUCUGUGUGCACGAAGAAGGCUUUCGGGCUGUAAAGUGCUUUCAGCAGGGAAGAAGCAAGUGACGGUACCUGCAGAAGAAGCGACGGCUAAAUACGUGCCAGCAGCCGCGGUAAUACGUAUGUCGCAAGCGUUAUCCGGAAUUAUUGGGCAUAAAGGGCAUCUAGGCGGCCAGGCAAGUCUGGGGUGAAAACCUGCGGCUCAACCGCAGGCCUGCCCUGGAAACUGCGUGGCUAGAGUGCUGGAGAGGUGGACGGAACUGCACGAGUAGAGGUGAAAUUCGUAGAUAUGUGCAGGAAUGCCGAUGAUGAAGAUAGUUCACUGGACGGCAACUGACGCUGAAGUGCGAAAGCCGGGGGAGCGAACAGGAUUAGAUACCCCUGUAGUC